UGCAGGCUGCAACUCGCCUGCAUGAAGCUGGAAUUGCUAGUAAUCGCGGAUCAGCAAGCCGCGGUGAAUACGUUCCCGGGCCUUGUACACACCGCCCGUCACACCAUGAGAGUCGGGAACACCCGAAGUCCGUAGUCUAACCGCAAGGGGGGCGCGGCCGAAGGUGGGUCCGGUAAUUGGGGUGAAGUCGUAACAAGGUAGC
rnacentral:rRNA from 1 species